UUUCUUUCUUUCUUUCUUUCUUUCUUUCUUUCUUUCUUUCUUUCUUUCUUUCUUUCUUUCUUUCUUUCUUUCUUUCUUUCUUUCUUUCUUUCUUUCUUUUAGGAGAAGAGGCGAGCACAGGAGGAAGAGGACAGAGCAAGGAGAGAGAUAGAGGAAGAGUGGCUGAAGCUUGCACAGCGCAAGAGGAAGUCUCUAAGAGACCAGUGGCUGAUGGAGCCAACGCCCAGCAGUACUGAGGCUUCUGGGACCCAAACUGCACCCUGGACCCCCACUCAGACAGCAGAGGAGAGCGCAGAAGAAACACAAAGCACACGAAAGGAGAUGAAGGAAGAAGAUGAGAAAACGGCAAACAUGAAUGAUGAACAGCCGGCACGAUUUAUGGAGACUGUACCCUCUGGCCUUUCAAAGAAGAACAAAGGGGAUCCUACACAAGUAGGUGGAAGACCGCUGUGUUAACGCACCAGCUAAUUAUUUACAUUCUAUGAAGAAAGAAAUCAUUCUUGAAAUCUAGGACUACUGAUAUCACAGCACUGCUCCUCUUCAUGCCACAUCUAGUAGUUCACUAGCACCCUCUCAGUACACAAAGGGAUCUGUGACUUGCUCAGUCAGUUCACCGCUGUGUCCAGUUCCUCCAGGAAUCUGCAGUCACAAAUUCGAAUGUAUUGAGCCCAACCUCUCAGUUUUCACAAGGGCUCUCAAUUUUGU
ensembl:lncRNA